AGCGCGCCCCGACCUGAGUGGAGCUCUUUUUUUGUGGCAGGAAAAGCGAGGGCAAAAAAAGCGGGAACGGAGGGCGGAUGAAGGC
rnacentral:misc_RNA from 1 species